rnacentral:other from 1 species
GAGGAACUACUGUCUUCACGCAGAAAGCGUCUAGCCAUGGCGUUAGUAUGAGUGUCGUACAGCCUCCAGGACCCCCCCUCCCGGGAGAGCCAUAGUGGUCUGCGGAACCGGUGAGUACACCGGAAUUGCCAGGACGACCGGGUCCUUUCUUGGAUCAACCCGCUCAAUGCCUGGAGAUUUGGGCGUGCCCCCGCAAGACUGCUAGCCGAGUAGUGUUGGGUCGCGAAAGGCCUUGUGGUACUGCCUGAUAGGGUGCUUGCGAGUGCCCCGGGAGGU